rnacentral:lncRNA from 1 species
GUGAGAAAUAAGAGAGCAAAAAAUUCUAAAUCUGGAGUCCACUCUUCCAUGUGGAACAACUUCCAGGGCACAAAAAUUAUUUUACAAGAGAAUUAAGGGUGUUCAUUGCUUUCCCAACACUUCCUCUGCUAAGGAACUGGGAGUAAACUUGACAUUGGGAGAGACAAGGGAUUACACUCUAUGCAGUGUCCAGAGUGGAAUUUCUUCAACCUUUGUCUCUUGAGGGUUUAUCUUAGAAAACCAUCAGUGGUAUCACCAUAUCUUUUAAGAGCAACUAAUAUUAAUCAGAUUAUGCCCCUUAAAGGAAGCCUACUAUAGCAACCAGUUAGGACACUCUCUGGGUAUUAUUGAGUUUUAAAACAGUUUUGCACCGUCGAGCAUUUUGCUCUUGUAUCUUCUAGACCUGAAUCCCACAUACUCACUGUAUUUGGACAAACCACAAUUGAUUCAGGAAGCAUUUUUUGGGAACUAAAAUGGGUGUGUAAAUCGACACUGGACAAAGCUGUUUGAGUUGGAUGGGUCUGAAAACACAAGCCAAGCCAAGAAUUCCCAGUGAUCCAGCCAGUCACGUCUGAUAUACUCAGCAGACUCUGACUCCAGCUCCACCAAGAGUUCCCGUGACUACUUCAGACAUGAGUUCAGCAAUCUCUCGGGAUCUCCAGCUCCAUGUCUUCAAUCCUGUCUCUGAGACCUGUGUGACUUCUCCCUGUGUGAAGAGGAGCCCCAUCUGCCCUUCUGAUGUGGAACAACAUGCAAAGAGUCGUGAUUUAUACAAGGGAACAGAAAAGGAUGAAGGCACAGGAGCCUGCCUCCCAGGUCAGCACUUGCUGAGAUCUGAGUUCAGUUGUCUGUGAUCUCUCCAAAAGCAGAAAUAAACCACCUGAUUGUGGCUAUAGCUGUGACA